rnacentral:rRNA from 1 species
GCAUGCGAGUCGAGAGGGUUCGGCCCUCGGCAGACGGCUCAGUAACACGUGGAUAAUCUGCCCUUAGGUGGGGAAUAAUCUCGAGAAAUUGAGCAUAAUGCCCCAUAGCUUUAGAAUGCUGGAAUGCUUUUAAAGCAAAAGCCCCGGCGCCUAAGGAUGAGUCUGCGGCCUAUCAGGUUGUAGUGAGUGUAACGGACUCACUAGCCGACGACGGUUACGGGUCCUGGAAGGGAGUGCCCGGAGAUGGACUCUGAGACACGAGUCCAGGCCCUACGGGGCGCAGCAGCUACGAAAACUUCACAAUGCGGGAAACCGCGAUGAGGGAAUUCCAAGUGCUUAUACUUUGUAUAAGCUGUUUACUUGCCUAAAAAGCAGGUAGAGUAAGGGCUGGGUAAGACUGGUGCCAGCCGCCGCGGUAAUACCAGCAGCUCAAGUGGUGAUCGUUUUUAUUGGGCCUAAAGCGUCCGUAGCCUGUUUGGUAAACCCUUGGGUAAAUCGGGCAGCUUAACUGUCCGAAUUCUGAGGAGACUGCCAGACUUGGGACCGGGAGAGGUCAGAGGUACUCUUAGGGUAGGGGUGAAAUCCUGUAAUCCUAAGAGGACCACCAGUGGCGAAGGCGUCUGACUAGAACGGGUCUGACGGUAAGGGACGAAGCCCUGGGUCACGAACCGGAUUAGAUACCCGGGUAGUCCAGGGUGUAAACGCUGCGGGCUUGGUGUUGGGGGUCCUACGAGGGCAUCCAGUGCCGGAGAGAAGUUGUUAAGCCCGCCGCCUGGGGAGUACGAUCGC